GGCGGGCUAUCAUGCAGUCGACGAACUUCCGUUAAUUGAUUAUGACGUACUUGUACUGAUUGAGAUUUUAACACGAAGUGAGUGGCGAACGGGUGAGUAACACGUGGGUAACCUGCCCAGAAGUAGGGGAUAACACCUGGAAACAGAUGCUAAUACCGUAUAACAGAGAAAACCGCAUGGUUUUCUUUUAAAAGAUGGCUCUGCUAUCACUUCUGGAUGGACCCGCGGCGUAUUAGCUAGUUGGUGAGGUAAAGGCUCACCAAGGCAGUGAUACGUAGCCGACCUGAGAGGGUAAUCGGCCACAUUGGGACUGAGACACGGCCCAGACUCCUACGGGAGGCAGCAGUAGGGAAUCUUCCACAAUGGACGCAAGUCUGAUGGAGCAACGCCGCGUGAGUGAAGAAGGGUUUCGGCUCGUAAAGCUCUGUUGUUAAAGAAGAACGUGGGUAAGAGUAACUGUUUACCCAGUGACGGUAUUUAACCAGAAAGCCACGGCUAACUACGUGCCAGCAGCCGCGGUAAUACGUAGGUGGCAAGCGUUAUCCGGAUUUAUUGGGCGUAAAGCGAGCGCAGGCGGUCUUUUAAGUCUAAUGUGAAAGCCUUCGGCUCAACCGAAGAAGUGCAUUGGAAACUGGGAGACUUGAGUGCAGAAGAGGACAGUGGAACUCCAUGUGUAGCGGUGAAAUGCGUAGAUAUAUGGAAGAACACCAGUGGCGAAGGCGGCUGUCUGGUCUGCAACUGACGCUGAGGCUCGAAAGCAUGGGUAGCGAACAGGAUUAGAUACCCUGGUAGUCCAUGCCGUAAACGAUGAUUACUAAGUGUUGGAGGGUUUCCGCCCUUCAGUGCUGCAGCUAACGCAUUAAGUAAUCCGCCUGGGGAGUACGACCGCAAGGUUGAAACUCAAAAGAAUUGACGGGGGCCCGCACAAGCGGUGGAGCAUGUGGUUUAAUUCGAAGCUACGCGAAGAACCUUACCAGGUCUUGACAUCUUCUGACAGUCUAAGAGAUUAGAGGUUCCCUUCGGGGACAGAAUGACAGGUGGUGCAUGGUUGUCGUCAGCUCGUGUCGUGAGAUGUUGGGUUAAGUCCCGCAACGAGCGCAACCCUUAUUACUAGUUGCCAGCAUUAAGUUGGGCACUCUAGUGAGACUGCCGGUGACAAACCGGAGGAAGGUGGGGACGACGUCAAAUCAUCAUGCCCCUUAUGACCUGGGCUACACACGUGCUACAAUGGAUGGUACAACGAGUCGCGAGACCGCGAGGUUAAGCUAAUCUCUUAAAACCAUUCUCAGUUCGGACUGUAGGCUGCAACUCGCCUACACGAAGUCGGAAUCGCUAGUAAUCGCGGAUCAGCAUGCCGCGGUGAAUACGUUCCCGGGCCUUGUACACACCGCCCGUCACACCAUGAGAGUUUGUAACACCCAAAGCCGGUGGGGUAACCUUUAGAGCAGCCUCUAGUACAUU
rnacentral:rRNA from 1 species